GACGAACGCUGGCGGCGUGCCUAAUACAUGCAAGUCGAGCGAAUGGAUUAAGAGCUUGCUCUUAUGAAGUUAGCGGCGGACGGGUGAGUAACACGUGGGUAACCUGCCCAUAAGACUGGGAUAACUCCGGGAAACCGGGGCUAAUACCGGAUAACAUUUUGAACCGCAUGGUUCGAAAUUGAAAGGCGGCUUCGGCUGUCACUUAUGGAUGGACCCGCGUCGCAUUAGCUAGUCGGUGAGGUAACGGCUCACCAAGGCAACGAUGCGUAGCCGACCUGGGAGUGAGAGCGGCCAACCUGGGACUGAGACACGGCCCAGACUCCUACGGGAGGCAGCAGUAGGGAAUCUUCCGCAAUGGACGAAAGUCUGACGGAGCAACGCCGCGUGAGUGAUGAAGGCUUUCGGGUCGUAAAACUCUGUUGUUAGGGAAGAACAAGUGCUAGUUGAAUAAGCUGGCACCUUGACGGUACCUAACCAGAAAGCCACGGCUAACUACGUGCCAGCAGCCGCCGUAA
rnacentral:rRNA from 1 species